rnacentral:rRNA from 1 species
AGAGUUUGAUCCUGGCUCAGAACGAACGCUGGCGGCGCGCCUAAUACAUGCAAGUCGAACGAGAAUGUGUAGCAAUACACAUGUACAGUGGCGAACGGGUGAGGACUACAUGGGUAACCUACCCUCGAGUGGGGAAUAACUAGCCGAAAGGUUAGCUAAUACCGCGUACGCUUCCAAGACUGCGGUUUUGGAAGGAAAGCGAUACCGUGGGUAUCGCGCUCUUGGAUGGGCUCAUGCCCUAUCAGCUUGUUGGUGAGGUAACGGCUCACCAAGGCUUCGACGGGUAGCUGAUCUGAGAGGAUGAUCAGCCACACUGGCACUGCGACACGGGCCAGACUCCUACGGGAGGCAGCAGUAAGGAAUAUUGCGCAAUGGGCGAAAGCCUGACGCAGCGACGCCGCGUGGGGGAUGAAGGUCUUCGGAUUGUAAACCCCUUUCGGGAGGGAAGAUGGGCUGGGGUAACCCAUUCGGACGGUACCUCCAGAAGCAGCCACGGCUAACUUCGUGCCAGCAGCCGCGGUAAUACGAAGGUGGCAAGCGUUGUUCGGAUUUACUGGGCGUACAGGGAGCGUAGGCGGUUGGAUAAGCCCUCCGUGAAAUCUCCAGGCUUAACCUGGAAAGUGCAGAGGGGACUGUUCAGCUAGAGGAUGGGAGAGGAGCGCGGAAUUCCCGGUGUAGCGGUGAAAUGCGUAGAGAUCGGGAGGAAGGCCGGUGGCGAAGGCGGCGCUCUGGAACAUUUCUGACGCUGAGGCUCGAAAGCGUGGGGAGCAAACAGGAUUAGAUACCCUGGUAGUCCACGCCUUAAACGAUGGAUACUAAGUGUCGGCGGGUUACCGCCGGUGCCGCAGCUAACGCAGUAAGUAUCCCGCCUGGGAAGUACGGCCGCAAGGUUGAAACUCAAAUGAAUUGACGG